rnacentral:rRNA from 1 species
CGGCGGACGGGUGAGUAAUGCCUAGGAAUCUGCCUGGGUAGGUGGGGGACGAACGUUUCGAAAGGAACGCUAAUACCGCAUACGUCCUACGGGAGAAAGCAGGGGACCUUCGGGCCUUGCGCUAUCAGAUGAGCCUAGGUCGGAUUAGCUAGUUGGUGAGGUAAUGGCUCACCAAGGCGACGAUCCGUAACUGGUCUGAGAGGAUGAUCAGUCACACUGGAACUGAGACACGGUCCAGACUCCGUACGGGGAGGCAGCAGGA